rnacentral:rRNA from 1 species
UCAGUAGCCGGACUGAGAGGUUGACCGGCCACAUUGGGACUGAGAUACGGCCCAGACUCCUACGGGAGGCAGCAGUGGGGAAUAUUGGGCAAUGGGCGCAAGCCUGACCCAGCAACGCCGCGUGAAGGAAGAAGGCUUUCGGGUUGUAAACUUCUUUUAAGUGGGAAGAGUAGAAGACGGUACCACUUGAAUAAGCCACGGCUAACUACGUGCCAGCAGCCGCGGUAAUACGUAGGUGGCAAGCGUUGUCCGGAUUUACUGGGUGUAAAGGGCGUGCAGCCGGGCAUGCAAGUCAGAUGUGAAAUCUCAGGGCUUAACCCUGAAACUGCAUUUGAAACUGUAUGUCUUGAGUGCCGGAGAGGUAAUCGGAAUUCCUUGUGUAGCGGUGAAAUGCGUAGAUAUAAGGAAGAACACCAGUGGCGAAGGCGGAUUACUGGACGGUAACUGACGGUGAGGCGCGAAAGCGUGGGGAGCGAACAGGAUUAGAUACCCUGGUAGUCCACGCUGUAAACGAUGGAUACUAGGUGUGCGGGGACUGACCCCCUGCGUGCCGCAGUUAACACAAUAAGUAUCCCACCUGGGGAGUACGAUCGCAAGGUUGAAACUCAAAGAAAUUGACGGGGGCCCGCACAAGCGGUGGAUUAUGUGGUUUAAUUCGAAGCAACGCGAAGAACCUUACCAGGUCUUGACAUCCUGCUAACGAAGUAGAGAUACAUUAGGUGCCCUUCGGGGAAAGCAGAGACAGGUGGUGCAUGGUUGUCGUCAGCUCGUGUCGUGAGAUGUUGGGUUAAGUCCCGCAACGAGCGCAACCCCUAUUGUUAGUUGCUACGCAAGAGCACUCUAGCGAGACUGCCGUUGACAAAACGGAGGAAGGUGGGGACGACGUCAAGUCAUCAUGCCCCUUAUGACCUGGGCUACACACGUAAUACAAUGGCGGUCAACAAAGGGAUGCGAAGCCGCGAGGCAGAGCGAACCCCAAAAAGCCGUCCCAGUUCGGAUCGCAGGCUGCAACCCGCCUGCGUGAAGUCGGAAUCGCUAGUAAUCGUGGGUCAGCAUACCACGGUGAAUACGUUCCCGGGCCUUGUACACACCGCCCGUCACACCAUGAGAGUCGGGAACACCCGAAGUCCGUAGCCUAACAGUAAGGAGGGCGCGGCCGAAGGUGGGUUCGAUAAUUGGGGUGAAGUCGUAACAAGGUAGCCGUUCGAGAACGAGCGGCUG